AGCACUGAUAAGACACACGGUGCAGUCUGACCUGUGAGGUGCUACUGAAUCUCAUAACAUUUAAGUUUUAUUAGCUGAUCAGACGAUAUUACUUAUCACGAAGAACGUUGAAUCAAAGUCAAUGGAUCCCAAUCAGGACCUGUCUGGUACAAAACCAGAGUCGCUGGAACCCAAUCAGGACCAGUCUGGUACAAAACUAGAGUCGCUGGGACCCAAUCAGGACCAGUCUGGUACAAAACCAGAGUCGCUGGAACCCAAUCAGGACCAGUCUGGUACAAAACCAGAGUCGCUGGGACCCAAUCAGGACCAGUCUGGUACAAAACCAGAGUCGCUGGAACCCAAUCAGGACCAGUCUGGCACAAGUCCAGAGUCACUGGAACCCAAUCAGGACCAGUCUGACACAACUCCAGAGUCACUGGAACCCAAUCAGGACCAGUCUGAUACAACUCCAGAGUCACUUGAACCCAAUCAGGAACAGUUUGGCACAAGUUCUCAUACAUCCAAUGGUUCCCUAGCCUCAAACAGCAGCUCAAUGACUUCAUCAGUUAAAGCUUCCCGUAACGACCUCCAACCAGGACUACUGGAUGUUCCAUUAUCUCCCACAUUCCCAAGACCCAUAGAACAACGCCGAGAAGAAUUGCUACGAGGUUAUCCAAUUUUGAUGGUAUGUAAGAUACGAAGGAGGCGGUGUCAACGGUGUGGGCGACUGCGACGGCACAUCAUUUUCACAUAAGCUUUGACAUCAAACGGAUAAAUGCAAAAACCUUCCAUAUAAAAUUCACUGAGGCACUUUCAUUAGCUAAAAUGUUUAGUUUUUUAAAAUUAUUAUAUAAGAUGAUAUCAUAUUACUUAAUCCUUUUCACAUAAGCUAUUAAGGUUUGUGUGUGAGAACGAGUCACCAUAAAAUAAUUUGUUUCAGUUUUAAACCCAGACAUGCUACAGUGAUUUAAAGUAAAGAAAGUAACACUAAAGAACGUCAAUUUAAGCACAUUACAGACACUAUUACUGCUCAGAUAUACUUAAAUAUAAUUACUAAUUUUGUUUCCAUAUAUUGUUUUAUUUAAAUUAAUUUUAACAACUUUCAUUAGUAACCUAUUUUAUUUUUUAAGUGUCUAUGAGAGGAUACGAUUCCCAAAAUAAAACAAAAUUAUAACAGCAAUGUAACUUGCUAUAUAUAUUUAUUAGCUUAUUAAUAAAAAGGCACAGUAAGAAAGAAAUAUAAACACAUCAAAUUAUUAUUUGGCCACGUCGCUUAUUCUGUAUUGCACGUCAAAGUUUAGAGUAUCACAAUAAGUGGCAUUUAUUGUUCUUCCUUAUUCCAUAAAUUCUACUAACAAUAUUCCAUUUCUAUCCCAAAACAAGGUUUUUUUUGUUCUCUUAGGACAUGAAGCUUAUAAAUUGCACUUAGUCCUGUAAUAACCUUUGCGCUGUUUCCAGAGUAACAAGAUAUUCAGGGAUGGGUAAGGUUAGGGAGUAGGGGCCGCCUCCUAUCUAGAUCCAUGAGGAAGAAUUAGGGCACUACAUCUCAGUCAUGUCUCCCCAGAAGAAGGGGAGGCCAGCUCUGAACCAGCCUCACCAGUCAAAGUAGGCAAGGGGUGCCUCUUGUUGAGGCUAGCAAGAACCUCUGAUAUUAGGGAACAAACUCCACCAAUUCCAACUGUCAUCUCCCACAGUAGACUAGAUCUAUCGAAUUGCCCAUGAACCCCAGAAUCUCGACAUUUGCGGUUAGUGAUGUGCUGCUCUUGGACAUCCAUAAG
rnacentral:misc_RNA from 1 species